AAUCAACGCUGGCGGCGUGCCUAACACAUGCAAGUCGAGCGCGAAAGUGGGCUUCGGCCCGCGAGUAGAGCGGCGAACGGGUGAGUAACGCGUGGGUGAUUUACCUCCGAGUGGGGAAUAACACCGGGAAACUGGUGCUAAUACCGCAUGACAUCCUUGGUUCGUUCCAAGGAUCAAAGCUGGGGACCGCAAGGCCUGGCGCUUGGAGAGGAGCCCGCGUCCGAUUAGCUUGUUGGCGGGGUAAUGGCCCACCAAGGCUUCGAUCGGUAGCCGGCCUGAGAGGGCGGACGGCCACACUGGGACUGAGACACGGCCCAGACUCCUACGGGAGGCAGCAGUGGGGAAUUUUUCGCAAUGGGGGAAACCCUGACGAAGCAACGCCGCGUGGAGGAUGAAGGCCCUCGGGUCGUAAACUCCUGUCGAUCGGGAAGAAGGCACUCGGCCCAAUACGCCGUUGUGUUGACUGUACCGGUGGAGGAAGCCACGGCUAACUCUGUGCCAGCAGCCGCGGUAAGACAGAGGUGGCAAGCGUUGUUCGGAAUUACUGGGCGUAAAGGGCGCGCAGGCGGUUCGUCAAGUCCCGUGUGAAAUCCCCCGGCUCAACUGGGGAACUGCGCGGGAAACU
rnacentral:rRNA from 1 species